ACCAGGAAGUUACAAACUAUAAAUAGUUUUAGUAGAAUAAAACCAGAAUAAAACCAAGCUUUCUCUGGCUUCUGCCAGCAUCAUCAGGGUAGCGUCCAAUCGAUGGGAGAAGCUAUUUAUAAAUGUGGCUCUCUUUGCGCCCAGCUUCUUGACGUCAUCAUGGGUCCCAGCCAAUCCACCUGCGUUUUGAUCGUAGUUUCUGUAUUGCAAGCUGUAAUUUCCUCACUUUCCUUGCUUGUGCCGAUACCACAGCUCUUCCUCUCUUCUUUGUAUGACUUCAUGUCCCAUUCUCAGAAACUGACUUCCUUUCAGUCAUGCCCCUGCAGAUUACUUGGCAAGUUUUCAGAAGCGAUUUGCAGUUGCCUCCUUCCAAAGGAUGAGAGAAAGUGACUGAUCCAAGGUCCCAGCUGACUUUGUGACCAAGAUGGAAUAGUAUUCAUGGUCUUCCAGUUUCUAGUUUGAUGCAUUAAGACUGCACCAAAUUGUAAUUGCACUACUAGAAUCAUUUCUUAGUCAUAAGAAGUUUACUCUGCCUGAAACCUGUUUUUCUCUGGAAUUAUGUGGCUGUUAUCUUUGUGGUUAAAAAAGGCUGUAGACCAUUUGAAAGAGGACAUCACCAAGUAUGGUUAGGAUUAUGGAAAAAAGUUUUAUGAGCAAAGCUUAAAGAAACUUUUUAGCUUAGAAAAAAGUUUGCCCUUUCUAGCACUACCACACCAAAGAGGGCAAACAUUUUUUUUUUCUUGGCUGAGGAAGCAUGUUCUAAUGGGCUUCAAUUACAAGAGAUGGACUUUGGUUGAAAACUAGGAAAAACAGAAGAAGUCAUUCCUUACAGGCUUUGACAGAGAUUCUUAAAGAAAAACUGGAUAGCCAUCUAUUGGGAAUGCUCUAUCUUGAAGCUUCCUGGAUUUCAAGAGAAAAUGGCUGACAAGUAAUUUUACGACAGAUGCUUUUACACUUAUAGGGUUAACUCACCAGUGACGUGGCUUUGGCAAAGUUCAGGGUCUUCAGAGAGGCAAGGAACUACCUGUUCUCCUUGGAGGGAGUCAAGAAGUGAAUAUUCAGUUUUCUGCAGGGAUUCUUCAGGUUCUGAAAUAGGAGAGCGGCAACAGAUUACUGCCCCUUGGACGUCUUUUUGAUUAUGAAGUCUAAAUAUUGCUGUUUUGUGGGUUCACAUUAAGGAAUGCAAUAUUGUUCCAUAUAAUGUAUGCAAUAGAAUACAUGGCUUGAUUACAACCUGGCCAAGUGCCAUAUAAUAACUUAAUAUUUCAAGCCUGGAAAACAGGGAACAGAUAGUCUUCAACAUACAAUUACCACUGAGCCCAAAACUUCCAUUGCUAAGCAAGACAGUUGUUAAAUGGGUUUUGCCCAACUUUACAAGCUUUAUUGCCACAAUUGUU